rnacentral:rRNA from 1 species
AUUGAACGCUAGCGGGAUGCCUUACACAUGCAAGUCGAACGGAGUGGCGAACGGGUGCGUAAUGUAUCGGAACGUGCCCAGUAGCGGUGGAUAACUACGCGAAAGCGUAGCUAAUACCGCAUACUAUUGGAGCGGCCGAUAUCGGAUUCGAUAGUGGGUGGGGGAACGCCUCACAAAGGCGACGAUCCGUAGCUGGUUUGAGAGGACGACCAGCCACACUGGGACUGAGCAACGCCCCAGACUCCUACGGGAGGAAGCAGUGGGGAAUUGUGGACAAGGGGGGAAACCCUGAUGCAGCAAUCCCGCGUGUGCGAUGAGGGCCUUCGGGUUGUAAAGUACUUUUGGCAGGAAGGCGGUACCUGAAGAAUAAGCACCGGCUAACUACGUGCCAGCAGCCGCGGUAAUAC